rnacentral:rRNA from 1 species
ACUGAACGCUGGCGGCAUGCCUUACACAUGCAAGUCGAACGGCAGCACGGGAGUAAUCCUGGUGGCGAGUGGCGAACGGGUGAGUAAAGCAUCGGAACGUGCCCAGUCGUGGGGGAUAACGUAGCGAAAGCUACGCUAAUACCGCAUACGAUCUGUGGAUGAAAGCGGGGGACCGUAAGGCCUCGCGCGAUUGGAGCGGCCGAUGUCAGAUUAGGUAGUUGGUGAGGUAAAGGCUCACCAAGCCGACGAUCUGUAGCUGGUCUGAGAGGACGACCAGCCACACUGGGACUGAGACACGGCCCAGACUCCUACGGGAGGCAGCAGUGGGGAAUUUUGGACAAUGGGCGCAAGCCUGAUCCAGCAAUGCCGCGUGCAGGAUGAAGGCCUUCGGGUUGUAAACUGCUUUUGUACGGAGCGAAAAGGCUUCCACUAAUACUGGGGGCUCAUGACGGUACCGUAAGAAUAAGCACCGGCUAACUACGUG